GACUCUUCUGGAGGAAGCAGCGCGGGCUUGACCGGCGUCGGCCCGCCGCCUCCGCUGCCGCUUCGCCCCAAUCCGGUCCCUCUGACCCGGCCUGACCCGGUCUGGCUUGUUCGGGCUCAGCGGCCGCGAGGCCGCAGCUCCCGAUACAAGUCCAAUUCUGCUCAACUGCUUGUUGAGGCUCGAGUUCAGCCUAAUCCAUCAAAACAUGUUCCCACAUCCCAUCCCCCUCACCACUGUGCAGUGUGUAUGCAGUUUGUGCGAAAGGAAAACCUACUCUCUCUGGCCUGUCAGCACCAGUUUUGCCGUAGCUGCUGGGAGCAGCACUGCUCAGUUCUCGUCAAGGACGGCGUGGGCGUGGGAGUCUCUUGUAUGGCUCAGGACUGUCCACUCCGUACACCAGAGGACU
rnacentral:sRNA from 1 species